UACAGAGGGUGCAAGCGUUGUUCGGAAUUAUUGGGCGUAAAGGGCGCGUAGGCGGUGCUGUAAGUCUGUGGUGAAAUCUCUGGGCUCAACUCAGAGUCUGCCAUAGAAACUGCAGUGCUGGAGUGUGGGAGAGGUGAGUGGAAUUCCCGGUGUAGCGGUGAAAUGCGUAGAUAUCAAGUGGAACACCAGUGGCGAAGGCGAGUCCCUGGACAACUCCCGACACUGAGGCACGAAAGCUAGGGGAGCAAACAGG
rnacentral:rRNA from 1 species